rnacentral:rRNA from 1 species
GAGCGCUCGUAGCAAUACGGGAGCGGCAGACGGGAGAGUAACACGUGGGAACGUACCCUUCGGUUCGGAAUAACUCAGGGAAACUUGAGCUAAUACCGGAUACGUCCGUAAGGAGAAAGAUUUAUCGCCGAGGGAUCGGCCCGCGUCCGAUUAGCUAGUUGGUGAGGUAAUGGCUCACCAAGGCGACGAUCGGUAGCUGGUCUGAGAGGAUGAUCAGCCUCACUGGGACUGAGACACGGCCCAGACUCCUACGGGAGGCAGCAGUGGGGAAUAUUGGACAAUGGGCGCAAGCCUGAUCCAGCCAUGCCGCGUGGGUGAUGAAGGCCUUAGGGUUGUAAAGCCCUUUCGGCGGGGAAGAUAAUGACGGUACCCGCAGAAGAAGCCCCGACUAACUUCGUG